UACGUAGGGACCGAGCGUUGUCCGGAAUCAUUGGGCGUAAAGAGCGUGUAGGCGGCCUGUUAAGUCUUGCGUGAAAUCUCGGGGCUCAACCCCGAGCGGUCGUGAGAAACUGGCAGGCUAGAGUGCGGGAGAGGAGAGUGGAAUUCCUGGUGUAGCGGUGAAAUGCGUAGAUAUCAGGAGGAACACCGGUGGUGUAGACGGCUUUCUGGACCGUAACUGACGCUGAGACACGAAAGCGUGGGUAGCAAACAGG
rnacentral:rRNA from 1 species